rnacentral:rRNA from 1 species
GGUGGGGGAUGACGUCAAAUCAGCACCGGCCCUUACGUCCAGGGCUACACACGUGCUACAAUGGCCGGUACAGAGGGCAGCUACCUGGUGACAGGAUGCAAAUCUCUAAAGCCGGUCUCAGUUCGGAUCGAAGUCUGCAACCCGACUUCGUGAAGUUGGAUUCGCUAGUAAUCGCAUAUCAGCCAUGAUGCGGUGAAUACGUUCCCGGGCCUUGUACACACCGCCCGUCAAGCCAUGGGAGCUUGGGGUACCUGAAGUUCGUGACCGAAAGGAGCGACCUAGGGUAAAACAAGUGACUGGGGCU